GUUAUAUAGUUAAGUGACUAAGCGCAUACGGUGGAUGCCUUGGCAGUCAGAGGCGAUGAAGGACGUAGUAACCUGCGAUAAGCGUUGGUAAGCUGGUAAACAAGCUUUGACCCAACGAUUUCCGAAUGGGGAAACCCAUCUAACAUAAGUUAGAUAUCUUGCACUGAAUACAUAGGUGUAAGAAGCAAACCCGGAGAACUGAAACAUCUAAGUACCCGGAGGAAAAGAAAUCAACCGAGAUUCCCUUAGUAGCGGCGAGCGAACGGGGAUUAGCCGAUGAUUAUUGAAUUAGUGGAACGCUCUGGGAAGUGCGGCCAUAGUGGGUGAUAGCCCCGUACACGAAGAUUCAAUAGUCACAUAUUAAGUAGGACGGGACACGUGUUAUCUUGUCUGAAGAUGGGGGGACCAUCCUCCAAGGCUAAAUACUCCUGACUGACCGAUAGUGAACCAGUACCGUGAGGGAAAGGCGAAAAGAACCCCUGUGAGGGGAGUGAAAUAGAUCCUGAAACCGUAUGCGUACAAGCAGUGGGAGCAGACUUGUUCUGUGACUGCGUACCUUUUGUAUAAUGGGUCAGCGACUUAAUUUUAGUAGCAAGGUUAACCGUAUAGGGGAGCCGUAGGGAAACCGAGUCUUAAUAGGGCGUUUAGUUGCUGGGAUUAGACCCGAAACCGAGUGAUCUAGCCAUGAGCAGGUUGAAGAUCAGGUAACACUGAUUGGAGGACCGAACCCACUUAUGUUGAAAAAUGAGGGGAUGACUUGUGGCUAGGAGUGAAAGGCUAAUCAAACUCGGAGAUAGCUGGUUCUCCUCGAAAGCUAUUUAGGUAGCGCCUCGUGUAUCACCCUGGGGGGUAGAGCACUGUUUGGGCUAGGGGGUCAUCCCGACUUACCAACCCCAUGCAAACUCCGAAUACCCAGGAGUGCGAUCACGGGAGACACACGGCGGGUGCUAACGUCCGUCGUGGAGAGGGCAACAACCCAGACCGCCAGCUAAGGUCCCAAAGUUACAGUUAAG
rnacentral:rRNA from 1 species